AGCAGCCGCGGUAAUUCCAGCUCCAAUAGCGUAUAUUAAAGUUGUUGCAGUUAAAAGCUCGUAGUUGAAUUUCGGGAUCAAUAUUUCGGUCAUGCCGUUGGUAUGCACUGUUAUCAUUGAUUUCUCACCUUCUAAAGAACCGUAAUGCCAUUAAUUUGGUGUUACGGGGAAUUAGGACUGUUACCUUGAAAAAUUAGAGUGUUUAAAGCAGGCUCACGCUUGAAUACAUUAGCAUGGAAUAAUGAAAUAGGACAUCCGAUUCUAUUUUGUUGGUUUCUAGGAUCGAUGUAAUGAUUAAUAGGGAUAGUUGGGGGCAUUAGUAUUCAAUUGUCAGAGGUGAAAUUCUUGGAUUUAUUGAAGACUAACUACUGCGAAAGCAUUUGCCAAGGAUGUUUUCAUUAAUCAGGAACGAAAGUUAGGGGAUCGAAGACGACCAGAUACCGUCGUAGUCUUAACCAUAAACUAUGCCGACUAGGGAUCGGAUGAUGUUAAUUUUUAAUGUACUCA
rnacentral:rRNA from 1 species